AGGCCUAUGUGUUGUAGUAAAGUCGCGUCAAAAUCUUACGAUAAAGACCAUAACAAAUUGUUAUUUAGCCUUUCACAUACAUAUUAACAUAAGAGAGAUUUUUUACAAAUUACAAGUACAAUGUGAAGAAUAAUAUUUUAACCUUACAAGUGACAUUUCAAAGGCAGAACUAACAAUGAAAGCAAAAGCAGCUUUUCUGAUCUACGCGAUUUUUUACCUCUUCCUGUGUUAUUUGAACUAUUAUGCAACUAUGGCCGCUUGGUUGGGAGGAUUCAUAUUUCCCUAUAUAGGACCAUAUUUAUUGCAAACUAUAGGAUUUACUAGACGUGGAGUAGGAAAAGGAACAGUGGCUUCAUACUUCAGUACUGCGGCCAAGAAGACCCGACUUAGCCGUAAGAUCUUUGGGACACUUCAGUCGAUCGGCAUUUCUCCCGGUCAUGUUAAACUGACUGCUCUCGGUGGCUUCGUCGGCAGCUCCUUGUGCAUUGUGACACAGUUUUUGUUGUGUGUGUACAAAACCGUUUAGCAUCACCAUCGGCAACCACUGCUCAACCUCAUCAUCACACACCGCCAUCAAACACCAACAUCGAAUACCAUCAUAAGUAGUAUUGACAAGAAUUCAACGUUAAGCACCACCAUCUUACACACACACCAUACAAAGUUGUUAAACGGUUAACAGAAAGAUGCGCAAAAAUAAACAGACGUUGACAUAAAAUAUUUCUGUCUAUGUAUGCACACAGGCAAGUGCAAAGUGACACAUACAAGCACAUAAUGCACGCACAUUGCCAUAAUUCUCAUUGUUGAGCGAUAUGUGUGUAGAUUUCUGUUUGAGCGUUUUUAUGCUUGCGCAUGUUUCUCUUUGCGCAUUUUUCAGUGUGCAAAUUUUUGUUUGCGCUUUUUGUCUGUGUGCGCAUUUUCCGUUGCGCUUUUUCCGUUGCGCAUGUAUCUGGUCACCUUGUCAAACACCUCAAUUAAACACCGCCAAGCCAUCGAGUUCGAAUAGUUAGCUAAACACUAGGUUUUAUUAAGGAAACUAUUCUUGCGUUUCUAUUAUCAGGGGAUAUAAGUCUUGUGUCUGACUUAAAUGUUACUAUUUUUAGAAACAAUGACGUUUUGAUCUAAAAAUAACAGAUGUGUUUAAAAAAAGGGAUUUAUCAAAAGUGGAAAGUUACUCAUCAACAAAAUCAAUUCAAGUUUAUAAUUUAUUAUUUAUUAAUAGAUUUAGAAUAUUUAAGAGGACAACUUGUAAUGGGUAAUAAUACCAUACAUCCCAUCAUAUUAUUAUGGGCAGCUUUAUUAAUAAUUUAUUUUAAUGUAAAAACAAAAUAUAUCACUAUCAUAUUAAUAUGUUCACUGUAAGUAGCCUACUUUUGUUGUGAUAAUGUGAUAAUUAUUUGUGUUUUAAAACAAAAUGAAUGUACUUAAACACGAAAGCUAUCCACCAACAGCAUAAGUGCAAGUAUAUUAUGAAUUUAGCAUUAAUAUACGAUUAUGUUAAAUAAUAGGGUGGACCAUAUAUCCCAUGAUAUUAUG